rnacentral:rRNA from 1 species
GAUGGAUUUGAGUAAGAGCAUACCUGUUGGGCCCCGAAAGAUGGUGAACUAUGCGUGAAUAGGGUGAAGCCAGAGGAAACUCUGGUGGAGGCUCGCAGCGGUUCUGACGUGCAAAUCGAUCGUCAAAUUUGGGCAUAGGGGCGAAAGACUAAUCGAACCAUCUAGUAGCUGGUUCCCGUCGAAGUUUCCCUCAGGAUAGCAGAAGCGGAUACAGUCUCAUGAGGUAGAGCAAACGGUUUGGGGUCUUGGGGUCGGAAAUGACCUUAACCUAUUCUCGAACUUUGAAUAUGUGAGAAGUCCUUGUUACUUAGUUGAACGUGGACAUUUGGAUGUAUAGUUCCAUGG